UGAACGCUGGCGGCAGGCUUAACACAUGCAAGUCGAGCGGUAACAGAUCCAGCUUGCUGGAUGCUGACGAGCGGCGGACGGGUGAGUAACGCGUAGGAAUCUACCCAGUAGCGGGGGAUAGCCCGGGGAAACCCGGAUUAAUACCGCAUACGCCCUAUGGGGGAAAGCAGGGGAUCUUCGGACCUUGCACUAUUGGAUGAGCCUGCGUCGGAUUAGCUAGUUGGUGGGGUAAAGGCCUACCAAGGCGACGAUCCGUAGCUGGUCUGAGAGGAUGAUCAGCCACACCGGGACUGAGACACGGCCCGGACUCCUACGGGAGGCAGCAGUGGGGAAUAUUGGACAAUGGGGGCAACCCUGAUCCAGCCAUGCCGCGUGUGUGAAGAAGGCUUUCGGGUUGUAAAGCACUUUCAGUGAGGAGGAAAUGGUGACUGUUAAUAGCGGUUACAAUUGACGUUACUCACAGAAGAAGCACCGGCUAACUCC
rnacentral:rRNA from 1 species